UACGAAGGUGGCAAGCGUUGUUCGGAUUUACUGGGCGUAAAGAGUGCGUAGGCGGUUUGAUAAGUCAGGAGUGAAAUCCCAGGGCUCAACCUUGGAAUUGCUUUUGAAACUAUCUUAUUUGAAUCCGGUAGAGGUUGGCGGAAUUCCCAGAGUAGAGGUGAAAUUCGCAGAUAUUGGGAGGAACACCAGUGGCGUAAGCGGCCAACUGGACCGGUAUUGACGCUGAGGCACGAAAGCGUGGGUAGCAAACAGG
rnacentral:rRNA from 1 species